rnacentral:misc_RNA from 1 species
GAUGAAGAACGUAGCGAAAUGCGAUACUUGGUGUGAAUUGCAGAAUCCCGUGAACCAUCGAGUCUUUGAACGCAAGUUGCGCCCGAAGCCAUUAGGCCGAGGGCACGCCUGCCUGGGCGUCACACGUCGUUGCCCCCCCAUCUAAUCCUUCGGGAUUGCGGGGGGCGGAUGAUGGCCUCCCGUGCGCCUCGUCGCGCGGUUGGCAUAAAUGCCAAGUCCUCGGCGACGCACGCCACGACAAUCGGUGGUUGCGAAACCUCGGUUGCCCGUCGUGUGCGGUCGUCGCGCAUCGAGGGCUCGAAAAAAUUGCCGGGUUCCGGCUCGGCUUUCAACGCGACCCCAGGUCAGGCGGGGUUACCCGCUGAAUUUAAGCAUAUCAAUAAGCGGAGGA